rnacentral:misc_RNA from 1 species
GUUUUCGGUUCCUUCUACAGCCCGCGCUUGUUAUAGGCUGUGUCUCUGGUUGUUCUUGCGCUUGCUCGACAUUCUACACAGAAAUGGAAGCAACUUCUACUUCUCCUUUCAAGAUAAUCUUGGGAUCAUCUUCGGUUGCGCGGAGGAAAAUAUUAGCUGAGAUGGGAUAUGAAUUUGAAAUCAUUACUGCAGAUAUUGACGAAAAAUGUAUACGGAAGGAAAAGCCAGAAGAGUUGGUAAUGGCUCUUGCUGAGGCUAAGGUAAUGAUUAAAUAAAUUAAUUAAUGAGAAAGGUAAUGUUCUUAUAAUUUGUAGUUAUUACUUUCAAAUCUUUAAAGGAAUUGAUGAAGUGGUUCAAGUACUUAAUUGGGAUAGCUUUAUUGUUAACUUAAGCAGAUUUUAAAUUUAAUGAUGUUGUAUAAGCUCUUAGCUACUUCCACUGUUUUGGAUAUUCUAAUUGGCUUGUGUUGUAAACACCAACUUUGUUUGGUUUGAGUCUCUUUCAUGAACUGAGUGUGAAGUGUGAGCUGCGUCGCAGGCUGAUGCCAUCAUAGCUAAGCUACAGGCUGAAAAUAUUCUAGAGAAGGAUGCUGAACUGACUAUUUUGAUUUCAGCUGACACAGUAUGUCUUGAUUCCUUCUUAAUUAUUAUGAUGCUUCUGGUUUGGACAAUCAGGUGUAUCUAGUCUCAGCUAGUGCCAAAUAUGGUCUGAGGAUACAAGUCUUCUGCAAGGAGAAAACCAUUUGCCUUGGCUACUACAGCAUGAAUCUUCCAGUCGAUAGUAUUGAAUUGUGAGACAUAAGGCAAAUGGGGCAGCUUUGGUGAAACUUUGCCUUGAAAAGGAAAACCCAGUUAAUUCAAACUGCUUUGUUAGCAAGGAUAGACGCAUAUCAAAAUCAUCAAUUUGGGUCUAUGUUGGAUUGUUCAACCAUUUGCUAUGACAAAGUUGUAGUUCAUGCUGAAAAAGUCAUUGUGUUGUUUUGUUGUUUAUUGUCCUCACUGCUGUUAAUGAUGGUACCUUGGUAUAUUUGUCAUUUUUUAAACCAUUGUUGCCUCUAUACUCUUGGAUUUACAUUGUGUAAUUGAACUUUGACUCUGGUGCUUAUCUUAGCUGCUGAAAACUUCUUCUCAGGCUGAAGCCAUCUUGCAAAAGCCCCCAGUACAUGACUAUGUUAAGGAAGCUGAGCCAGUAUUAUUAAUUACUUGUGAUCAAGUAUAAUUCAAUUCCUAUAAGAUACCUUGUUCCUAAUUUACUCAUUUGUAUCUAAAGCUUUUGGCAUGCAUUUUAAGAUUUUUAGGAAAUGUCCCUGCAAUGUCAUUUGGUUUGGUAGUCUCUGCAUCUUAUUAACACCUAGCCUUUCAAUAACACUACCAAAAUCAAGAGAGAAAGGAAUUCUAAUUAUAAUGGUUUAAAUACAUUGAUGAUUUGCAGUUAAAAAUAUCAUUAUGUCAACAGGUUGGGUGAUUAGUUUCUACUUUCUAGGAUAUGUAUUCUCGUCUUGAGCUAUACUUCUUUUGCAAAUUUGAUAGAAAACAAUAUAAUGGUUAUUGCUAAAGAGUAAGGGUCAACCUUCCCAUUUAAUUUUCCCUACCGAACCUCUACUUUUCUAACAGGUGUUGUUUGUAAUAGAUGCUGUUUGGUGGUAUGGAUAAAUGAGUAGGUGAGAUUUUUUAUGCAUGAGUUUAAAGCAUUAGAGGCCGUAGUUUGCAAAAAUAGAGACAGUUGAGUUCAUCCAGGGCCAGUUUAGAAACAGGGUUUUGCCCCAUACUACUGUAAUGCUUUUUUGCCUUCCAUGAAUCAUAUGGUGGAAAUAGUUCAUCUCAUGCUUUUGGGAUGCCUUGGAACUACAUAAGAGAGUAUUCAUUCAUCAAUAGGAUGUUUUUAUGCCCAAACGUCUCCUUUGCAACUUGUAUCCUCAACCAUAAUGGCUUCUGGUGAUAAGUAAUGCACUUGUAAGAUUGAAAUUCAGUUUUUUUUUUUUCCCUUCUCUCUCUCUCCUGGGGAGAUUUAUUCAUCUGUCAUUAAUACUCUUAUUCAACAAUCUGUAGGUGGUGGUUUAUGAAGGUGCAGUCAGGGAAAAGCCAUCCAGUGAGGAAGAAGCACGGCAUUUUAUGAAAGGUUUGCUAAUAUUCUUUACGCCUGUUAUUUUACUAUUAUAUUGCGUUGGUUGUCUACUGAUAUUGAAUGCAGGUUAUUCUGGUCGGUAUGCUGCAACUGUGAGUUCUGUUCUUGUUACAAAUCUUAAAACUGGAUUCAGAAAAGUAGAAUGUGACAGAGUGGAGGUAGGAUUUGCUUUUAUUUGAACAAUUUGAAUAAUAACACAAUCUGCAAUGCUUUAACCUGACUACAGAGAAAUAAAUACAUAAUGGUGAACAAUUAUGCAAUUUCAUUUUGUUUCUCACCUAACUACCUUUGGGCUAAUUAAUCUAGCCAGAGGAAAUGUUUAGGUAAAGAGAGGAACUUCAUGAAAGGAACAUAACUUGUGCUGUUUCAAUUAGAGAAACACUUAUUUCAAACUAGCUUGCUGCCUACCACUUUAGGCAGGGUUGAUUCAAUUGUUUUAUUGCCCUGUUCCGUAGUGUUGGAGUGGAGCAAGGAGAACACGUUUUUUGGUUGACCAUCAAUCUCCAGCUUUUGUGGUCUAACUUAAGUAUGAAAACUUUGUAGGGCCUGAAGAAGAGCCGUAAAGAGUAAAGCAACAGACGUGGCUACUUAUUUUGUUUCGAAACACUACAUAAAACUAUCAAAAUCCAUAUGAUCUCUUUUGUAUUGCUCAGACUACUGUAGUUUUUGACACUUGAGGAAAAGAAAGAAGAAAAAAGAAAAAUAUUGAAAAUUGACUAAUUCAUUCUUUCCCUAAAGGAAAAAAUGAACAAAAAAAAAACAUUUAGGGGGAGAUCUUGUUCCCUUAGCUGAAUAAUUGGAGUGGCAGAGACGUAGUUCUAUGCACAAUGAUACCAGUUCCACAAGGUUUCACAAUUGUAUAUAUAGUUUCUUCCUUGAAUGGUUAUUGGUUUAUCUUUUCCUUUUUGUUGAUAUAUCUUUGUGCUUGCCAAUUAUUGUUUCUCAUAUGUUUGCUAUUUUUGAAUUGAGAACCAAAGCAUCUGCAUUAAUUUCUGUACAUUGAUGGUACAUAGAACUAACAGUUAGGUUUUAUGCCUUGCAGAUCUAUUUCCAUGAAAUACCAGAUGAAGUCAUUGAAAAGCUGAUCGAAGAGGGACUUGUGCUCAGAGUUGCUGGGGGCCUUAUAAUAGAGCAUCCUUUAAUAUUGCCUUACGUUAAAGAAGUGGUAGGGACAACUGAUAGCGUGAUGGGACUUCCCAAAGCCCUCACUGAAAAACUUGUGAAAGAGGCUCUCUAGCUACUCCAGCUGUUUUCUUAUCCAUUCUUUUUGGUAUUAAUCCCACAGGCAUUCUUGCUUUCCUUCACUGUUAUUGCUCCACUCAAC